UACAGAGGUCUCGAGCGUUAGUCGGAUUCAUUGGGCUUAAAGCGUACGUAGGCGGAUAUGCAGGCGUCGUGUGAAAGCCCUCGGCUCAACCGAGGAAUUGCACGGCGAACCGCAUGUCUUGAGGUCGGUAGAGGCGGUCGGAACGAUAGGUGGAGUGGUGAAAUGCGUUGAUAUCUAUCGGAACGCCGAAGGUGAAGACAGGCCGCUGGGCCGAUUCUGACGCUGAGGUACGAAAGCGUGGGGAGCGAACGGG
rnacentral:rRNA from 1 species